AGAACUUCCGGCGCGAACGGUUCCCAAUCGGGAUGAAAAGGGAACCCGGUGCCAAGCCUUUUGGCUUGAACUCCGGGACUGCCCCCGCAACUGUAGGCGGCCGUUUCGACCCAUUCGCCCGUCGGGCGAUGCCACUGUGUCACAAAACAGGCACGGGAAGGCGGGUUGGAACGAUGGCCGCGAGUCAGGAGACCUGCCGUUCCGGCCUGCGAUGGA
rnacentral:ncRNA from 17 species